rnacentral:rRNA from 1 species
UACGGAGGUGCAAGCGUUAAUCGGAAUUAUUGGGCGUAAAGGGUGCGUAGGUGGUUAAUAAGUUAGCUGUAAAAUACCUGGGCUUAACCUAGGAAGGUCAGCUAAAACUGUUAAACUUGAGUAUAGGAGAGGGUAGUGGAAUUUCCGGUGUAGCGGUGAAAUGCGUAGAGAUCGGAAGGAACAUCGGUGGCGAAGGCGUCUACCUGGCCUAAAUGACUGACACUGAGGCACGAAAGCGUGGGGAGCAAACAGG